rnacentral:rRNA from 1 species
AGUGAACGCUGGCGGUAGGCCUAACACAUGCAAGUCGAACGGCAGCACAGUAAGAGCUUGCUCUUACGGGUGGCGAGUGGCGGACGGGUGAGGAAUACAUCGGAAUCUACUUUUUCGUGGGGGAUAACGUAGGGAAACUUACGCUAAUACCGCAUACGACCUACGGGUGAAAGCAGGGGAUCUUCGGACCUUGCGCGAAUGAAUGAGCCGAUGUCGGAUUAGCUAGUUGGCGGGGUAAAGGCCCACCAAGGCGACGAUCCGUAGCUGGUCUGAGAGGAUGAUCAGCCACACUGGAACUGAGACACGGUCCAGACUCCUACGGGAGGCAGCAGUGGGGAAUAUUGGGCAAUGGGCGCAAGCCUGAUCCAGCCAUACCGCGUGGGUGAAGAAGGCCUUCGGGUUGUAAAGCCCUUUUGUUGGGAAAGAAAAGCAGCAGGUUAAUACCCCGCUGUUCUGACGGUACCCAAUGAAUAAGCACCGGCUAACUUCGUG